ACGUAUUAGAGACUUAUCUCUUUAGCUUCUUUUCAUCUUUCCUCCUUCUCUCCUUCUCCUUCAGCCCUAAGAGCAAAGUAGUGAAGAAGCAAGUUGGAAACCGGCAGUUUGGUGCUUGCGGGUUGUAGGAGAAUUGCCGAGCUGAAAUUCGAGUCCCUAAAGCUAAGAGGAAUUUGGAAGAGCACUUAAUUAAGCCCUGAAAUUUCAGCUUGUGGAGUCAAAAAUUCUCACUGUUGGAGCUGCUGAAUAGAAAUUUCAGCUAGGGGAAGUUUAGAAAUUAAUGAAAUUCAAGUUGAUGGUGAAGGGAAGUUAGCAAGUUGAUACUUCGGUUUUGGUGGACCUUCUUGGUGUUCCGAGCUGAGAAGAAGCCUGGAGGAGAGCUUCAAAUUAAUAAUUGGCAAGCUCGAGAGUAUUGGGCCAAGUGAAGUCGAUGCAUUAGUGCUGUCCUGACUGAGAAGUUGCUGCCCAGAUUUAGAGCGGAUUUGAGGAAGCCUUUGGAUGCUUUGAAUUUCAGCAAGCCUGAUGCUGAAAUUGCAAUUUUGGUGGAGCCUCUUUUGAUGUUUUAAGUUGAAGGAAGACCUUAGAAAGCUGAGAGCAGGGUGGUGAAGGCAUUGGAUGGAGGUCGGCGACGCACGAAUUACGGUAGAAGCCGUUUAAGCUCUAUUUGCACGGAGUCGCAAGAGCUCGUUAUUGACACAGUUCGAGACGCUGAUUCUAGCUGUUGGCAUCCCUACAGACCUAGUGGGUGAGUCGGCGAAUUCGGCGGUCGAACCCACUGGGAACUUUCAGUAGUUCUCAUACCACUAACCAUACAAGUUCCAGUGCGAGCGGUGUGGCCGAGGACCGUGGCAAGAGCCUUGCAGCCUAGCUAGCUGACACCAGAGUAUAGUAGUUUACCAUUUUGAGUUCAUGUGAGACAUUUUGAUGUACAGAGACAUGUAAAUGAAUGUAUUAUAAAGCAUGUAAAUCACUAAAUAUUUCAGUUAUACAGUUUAGUUUGAAAGUUUUAAAUUACA